GAUGAACGCUGGCGGCGUGCCUAAUACAUGCAAGUCGAGCGAACAGACGAGGAGCUUGCUCCUCUGACGUUAGCGGCGGACGGGUGAGUAACACGUGGAUAACCUACCUAUAAGACUGGGAUAACUUCGGGAAACCGGAGCUAAUACCGGAUAAUAUAUUGAACCGCAUGGUUCAAUAGUGAAAGACGGUUUUGCUGUCACUUAUAGAUUGAUCCGCGCCGCAUUAGCUAGUUGGUAAGGUAACGGCUUACCAAGGCAACGAGGCGUAGCCGACCUGAGAGGGUGAACGGCCACACUGGAACUGAGACACGGUCCAGACUCCUACGGGAGGCAGCAGUAGGGAAUCUUACGCAAUGGGGGAAAGCUUGACGUAGCAACGCCGCGUGAGGGAUGAAGGUCUUCGGAUCGUAAAACUCUGUUAUUAGGGAAGAACAAAUGUGUAAGUAACUAUGCACGUCUUGACGGUACCUAAUCAGAAAGCCACGGCUAACUACGUG
rnacentral:rRNA from 1 species